GGCCGGGGCCAUGGUGGGGGAGGCUCGGGCCGCGGCGGCUCUGGGGGGUCCCGGGUGCCGUAACCAGGAACGUCCCGCUCUGGCGGCGGCGGGCGGAAAGUACAGAUAAAAAUGGAAAAAAGGCGUCUCUCCAGACUGACACUGCUGCCUGAGGCCACAGCAGCUACGCAGAUGGAAGCAUUUCUGCUAGAUGAAGGGACAG